rnacentral:tRNA from 1 species
UCUACGGUGGUCCAGUGGUUGAGAUUCUGUGCUCUUAACACAGGGGCUUGGGUUCAAUCCCUGGCUGGGGAA